rnacentral:rRNA from 1 species
AUUGAACGCUGGCGGCAGGCCUAACACAUGCAAGUCGAGCGGAUGAAGGGAGCUUGCUCCUGGAUUCAGCGGCGGACGGGUGAGUAAUGCCUAGGAAUCUGCCUGGUAGUGGGGGAUAACGUCCGGUAACGGGCGCUAAUACCGCAUACGUCCUGAGGGAGAAAGUGGGGGAUCUUCGAACCUCACGCUAUCAGAUGAGCCUAGGUCGGAUUAGCUAGUUGGUGGGGUAAGGGCCUACCAAGGCGACGAUCCGUAACUGGUCUGAGAGGAUGAUCAGUCACACUGGAACUGAGACACGGUCCAGACUCCUACGGGAGGCAGCGGUGGGGAAUAUUGGACAAUGGGCGAAAGCCUGAUCCAGCCAUGCCGCGUGUGUGAAGAAGGUCUUCGGAUUGUAAAGCACUUUAAGUUGGGAGGAAGGGCAGUAAGUUAAUACCUUGCUGUUUUGACGUUACCAACAGAAUAAGCACCGGCUAACUUCGUG